ACUUAUAGUGAAAGGAAAUACCUUAAUUAACUGGCUCGGAGUCAACAUAUUAUGUCAGGGUAUAGCAUUAUUUCUCAAGGGAACUUGUUAUGCAUUUAAUGUUAGUACGUGAAAAAUUCAGCAUGGAAAGUCGGUGUGAUAGGCCGAACUUGUACAAUUGAGGUGGUAUGUUGUCUUCAUUAUAUAGCCAGUGUGUUACCAUGAUUCUUUUUAUCAAAACACACAAACUAUUAAAUGAUGUAACAUCACUGUUUAAUUAUAAACUGCAGAGAAAACACUAAAGCUACAAUGCUUAUUAUUUUGUACACAA
rnacentral:lncRNA from 1 species